rnacentral:rRNA from 1 species
UAAGGAAUCUUCCACAAUGGGGGCAACCCUGAUGGAGCAACACCGCGUGAAGGAUGAAGGCCCUCGGGUCGUAAACUUCUUUUAUAAGUGAAGAAUAUGACGGUAACUUAUGAAUAAGGGUCGGCUAACUACGUGCCAGCAGCCGCGGUCAUACGUAGGACCCAAGCGUUAUCCGGAGUGACUGGGCGUAAAGAGUUGCGUAGGCGGUCUGUAAAGCGAAUAGUGAAAUCUGGUGGCUCAACCAUCAACACAUUAUUCGAACUCGCAGACUCGAGAAUGGUAGAGGUAGCUGGAAUUUCUUGUGUAGGAGUGAAAUCCGUAGAUAUAAGAAGGAACACCAAUGGCGUAGGCAGGCUACUGGACCAUUUCUGACGCUGAGGCACGAAAGCGUGGGGAGCGAACC